rnacentral:misc_RNA from 1 species
UGUGGGAGCGAGCCUGCUCGCGAUAGCGGUGGGUCAGUCUCCAUUUAUCCAAGCUGAGACACCGCAAUCGCGAGCAGGCUCGCUCCCACA